UGGGGAAUAUUGCACAAUGGACGGAAGUUUGAUGCAGCGACGCCGCGUGGAGGGUGUAGGCCUUCGGGUUGUGAACUCCUUUUUCUCGCGAAAAAGGCACAGUUUUGGCUGUGUUGAUGGUAGUGCGGGAAGAAGCGCCGGCUAACUACGUGCCAGCAGCCGCGGUAAUACGUAGGGCGCGAGCGUUGUCCGGAUUUAUUGGGCGUAAAGAGCUCGUAGGUGGUUCGUCGCGUCUGUCGUGAAAGCCAGCAGCUUAACUGUUGGUCUGCGGUGGGUACGGGCGGGCUUGAGUGCGGUAGGGGUGACUGGAAUUCCUGGUGUAGCGGUGGAAUGCGCAGAUAUCAGGAGGAACACCGAUGGCGAAGGCAGGUCACUGGGCCGUUACUGACACUGAGGAGCGAAAGCGUGGGGAGCGAACAGG
rnacentral:rRNA from 1 species